rnacentral:rRNA from 1 species
CGCGAGACAGUUCGGUCCCUAUCUGCCAUGGGCGUUGGAUGUUUGAGAGGAGCUGUUUUUAGUACGAGAGGACCGAAAUGGACGAACCGCUGGUGUACCAGUUGUCCUGCCAAGGGCAAACGCUGGGUAGCUACGUUCGGACGGGAUAACCGCUGAAGGCAUCUAAGCGGGAAGCCCCCCUCAAGAUAAAACAUCCCAGGGUUUGACCCCUGAAGGUACCAGGAAGACUACCUGGUUGAUAGGUUGGAGGUCUAAGCAUGGUAACAUGUUCAGCCGACCAAUACUAAUCUGCCGUGAGACUUGACCAU